ensembl:lncRNA
AUGCAGGUUUUGCACUCUCAACGCCUUAAUGAACCUCUGCUCAAGCCAUGGGUAAUCCUCAGCUACAGUGGCCAAGUAGAGUGUGUACACUGCACAUGCAUGGCUGGCAUAGCAGAGUCUUGCACACAUGUUGGGGCUCUCCUUUUUAAAAUUGAAGCAGCAGUCCGGAUACGGGGCACCAAGACUGUCACUGAUGUUCCAGCCUACUGGAUGAUGCCUGCUAAUGUUGAUAAGGUCCAAGCAGAGGUGGGCCACAUGAUCGACUUCACCACUGGUGCAGCUAAGAGAGUGGCACUUGACAAGUGCAUCAGUGGAGAGAGGGGAAUGUCAGGGAUACGUACUUGUUUAGGCUCCACGAGUCAUUGUGCACAUGAGCCCACACUUUCAGACCUGUCACCCCUGCUUCAGAUUUUGCACACUCACAGCAAGGCCGUUUGUCUUUCUGGGAUGGAAGAGUAUUACCAUCAUUAUAUCGACCCAGUUAAGCCACAUGCAGUGCCAAAGUCCCUACAGCAUCUUCGUGACCCAGGAAAGGAUGGAUGCGAUCUGCCCAUCCUGUUCCAGCAUUGCAACACCCUCACACACCUGGUAGCAGUAACAGAGACACAGGCAGCUGCAAUUGAAGCUCAGACGAGACUGCAACAUCGAUCAUCUGUCUGGUACACAUCAAGAGCAGGAAGAAUAACAGCUUCAAAUAUGCAUGCCGUUAUGUCCGCUAGUGUUGAGAAACCAGCCACAUCAACUGUGUCAGUAGUGUGCAAAAAAACAGCAACCUCAGCUGCCAUCAGAUGGGGGAUAGACAAUGAAGGAACAGCAAGGCACUAUACUCAACAAGCCUCCACAAAGACACCUGUUUCAACAGAGUUACAACCAUCUCACACAAAAAGAACAAAAACACAUACAUGUGAGAACAUGCAAAGACUCUGGUGCAUUUGCAAAGGGCCUGAAGAUCUGGAUGACAUGGUGGCUUGUGACAAUGAAAGUUGUGCAGUCCAGUGGUUCCACCUCAGCUGUGUGGGACUCAGUCAGGCACCUUCAGAAACUGAGUCAUGGCUUUGUACCUCCUGUACACACUGA